ACUUCAGUCCACUUUACAUCCUACACAAGAUCACUUGUUCACUCUUUAGCUACAGAAAGAAUUGUCUGCCCGUUUUCCAUUUACAUAAUACAAUUACAAACUUAAACACAAAAGUGGCGACGAGGUGAAAUUAGUUUGGCACACAGUGGAUUUUUUUGCAUAUAGGUAUAUUGCCUUCCACUAACAGAUCCUAAAAUUUCUGUUAUUGUAUGAAAAACCUUGGAAUUUUCAGUGCAACGGCACUCAGGAAACUAGUACAGAUGAGAGACAGAAGGAACGAUGAAUCCGAACGAAUUCCGAACGGUUUGCAACUACCUAUUUACGCAAUGUGGAGUAGAGGCGUGAUAAGCUCCGGUUAUACAUCAUUCGCAUCUGUAGCUGAAGUCGAUGGUUCUCCCAAGAGGAUUCGGAAAAGAGAGUCGUGUAACUUCACAUCAAAGAAUAAUGAAGAUCAAAAUUGCUCACAACAUUGUACGACGAUGGUCGAUGCGAGUUUUAGUUUUAAAGAUCAGUUAAAGAUUCAAAUGAAUUUGAAACAACAUUGGACAGUAAAGAUUCCAUGUUAUAGUAUAAGCACCUAAUUGACAAAUGUCAGUUCUGAUAUCUAUAUCAACAGCUCCUAAAGGGAUGAGGAUUGUUAUAUACCAGUAUGUUAAACACACUUCGUGUUUUCUGUUAUACGACAGAGUAAAUUCAAUGCCUUCUAACCGUACUCAUUUGUAUCCGAUAGCUUCUAAACAGAAGCAAUAAUAAACGGACUUCAGUCCACUUUACAUCCUACACAA